rnacentral:RNase_P_RNA from 15 species
UCCUACGCAAUUUUACCUGCCUUCAUAAGGAACUCAAAGGGUUCAGUUAGUACUUAACUUACUAUAUAAGCAGGUGGGAAAUUCGGUGGAACUCUAAGAGACAAUCAGCCGGAUCUUUAGCUUAAUUGUUAAAGAACUGUUUCCGUGAGGAAAGUCUGGGGAACUGGACUUGCAGCUGCUGUCACAAGAAAUCAACGCCCUUUGUUGGUGGAUGGGAAGGCAGUAGAGGUCUCUUUUGGCUUGGAUGCAAAUUUGGACGUCCAAGGCUUGCUGAGUGCAAUCGUGGGACAAAGAA